rnacentral:rRNA from 1 species
GACGAACCCUUGCGGCGUGCUUAACACAUGCAAGUCGAACGGAAAGGCCCUGCUUUUGUGGGGUGCUCGAGUGGCGAACGGGUGAGUAACACGUGAGUAACCUGCCCUUGACUUUGGGAUAACUUCAGGAAACUGGGGCUAAUACCGGAUAGGAGCUCCUGCUGCAUGGUGGGGGUUGGAAAGUUUCGGCGGUUGGGGAUGGACUCGCGGCUUAUCAGCUUGUUGGUGGGGUAGUGGCUUACCAAGGCUUUGACGGGUAGCCGGCCUGAGAGGGUGACCGGCCACAUUGGGACUGAGAUACGGCCCAGACUCCUACGGGAGGCAGCAGUGGGGAAUAUUGCACAAUGGGCGGAAGCCUGAUGCAGCAACGCCGCGUGCGGGAUGACGGCCUUCGGAUUGUAAACCGCUUUCGCCUGUGACGAAGCGUGAGUGACGGUAAUGGGUAAAGAAGCACCGGCUAACUACGUGCCAGCAGCCGCGGUGAUACGUAGGGUGCGAGCGUUGUCCGGAUUUAUUGGGCGUAAAGGGCUCGUAGGUGGUUGAUCGCGUCGGAAGUGUAAUCUUGGGGCUUAACCCUGAGCGUGCUUUCGAUACGGGUUGACUUGAGGAAGGUAGGGGAGAAUGGAAUUCCUGGUGGAGCGGUGGAAUGCGCAGAUAUCAGGAGGAACACCAGUGGCGAAGGCGGUUCUCUGGGCCCUUCCUGACGCUGAGGAGCGAAAGCGUGGGGAGCGAACAGGCUUAGAUACCCUGGUAGUCCACGCUGUAAACGGUGGGUACUAGGUGUGGGGUCCAUUCCACGGGUUCCGUGCCGUAGCUAACGCUUUAAGUACCCCGCCUGGGGAGUACGGCCGCAAGGCUAAAACUCAAAGGAAUUGACGGGGCCCCGCACAAGCGGCGGAGCAUGCGGAUUAAUUCGAUGCAACGCGUAGAACCUUACCUGGGUUUGACAUGGAUCGGGAGUGCUCAGAGAUGGGUGUGCCUCUUUUGGGGUCGGUUCACAGGUGGUGCAUGGCUGUCGUCAGCUCGUGUCGUGAGAUGUUGGGUUAAGUCCCGCAACGAGCGCAACCCUUGUUCACUGUUGCCAGCACGUUAUGGUGGGGACUCAGUGGAGACCGCCGGGGUCAACUCGGAGGAAGGUGGGGAUGACGUCAAGUCAUCAUGCCCCUUAUGUCCAGGGCUUCACGCAUGCUACAAUGGCUGGUACAGAGAGUGGCGAGCCUGUGAGGGUGAGCGAAUCUCGGAAAGCCGGUCUCAGUUCGGAUUGGGGUCUGCAACUCGACCUCAUGAAGUCGGAGUCGCUAGUAAUCGCAGAUCAGCAACGCUGCGGUGAAUACGUUCCCGGGGCU